rnacentral:rRNA from 1 species
GAUGAACGCUGGCGGCGUGCCUAAUACAUGCAAGUCGAGCGAACAGAUGAGGAGCUUGCUCCUCUGACGUUAGCGGCGGACGGGUGAGUAACACGUGGAUAACCUACCUAUAAGACUGGGAUAACUUCGGGAAACCGGAGCUAAUACCGGAUAAUAUAUUGAACCGCAUGGUUCAAUAGUGAAAGACGGUUUUGCUGUCACUUAUAGAUGGAUCCGCGCCGCAUUAGCUAGUUGGUAAGGUAACGGCUUACCAAGGCAACGAUGCGUAGCCGACCUGAGAGGGUGAUCGGCCACACUGGAACUGAGACACGGUCCAGACUCCUACGGGAGGCAGCAGUAGGGAAUCUUCCGCAAUGGGCGAAAGCCUGACGGAGCAACGCCGCGUGAGUGAUGAAGGUCUUCAGAUCGUAAAACUCUGUUAUUAGGGAAGGACAAAUGUGUAAGUAACUAUGCACGUCUUGACGGUACCUAAUCAGAAAGCCACGGCUAACUACGUG